AUUGAACGCUGGCGGAAUGCUUUACACAUGCAAGUCGAACGGUAGAGGGGGCAACCCCUCGAGAGUGGCGAACGGGUGAGUAAUAUAUCGGAACGUGCCCAGUCGUGGGGGAUAACGUAGCGAAAGUUACGCUAAUACCGCAUACGAUCUCAAGAUGAAAGCGGGGGAUCGCAAGACCUCGCGCGAUUGGAGCGGCCGAUAUCAGAUUAGGUAGUUGGUGGGGUAAAGGCUCACCAAGCCAACGAUCUGUAGCUGGUCUGAGAGGACGACCAGCCACACUGGAACUGAGACACGGUCCAGACUCCUACGGGAGGCAGCAGUGGGGAAUUUUGGACAAUGGACGCAAGUCUGAUCCAGCCAUUCCGCGUGCAGGAUGAAGGCCCUCGGGUUGUAAACUGCUUUUGUACGGAACGAAAAGGUCUCUCUUAAUACGGGGGGCUCAUGACGGUACCGUAAGAAUAAGCACCGGCUAACUACGUGCCAGCCGCCGCCUAA
rnacentral:rRNA from 1 species